rnacentral:rRNA from 1 species
AACGAACGCUGGCGGCAUGCCUAACACAUGCAAGUCGAACGAUUGCCUUCGGGUGAUAGUGGCGCACGGGUGCGUAACGCGUGGGAAUCUGCCCUUAGGUUCGGAAUAACAGCUGGAAACGGCUGCUAAUACCGGAUGAUAUCGCGAGAUCAAAGAUUUAUCGCCUGAGGAUGAGCCCGCGUUGGAUUAGGUAGUUGGUGGGGUAAAGGCCUACCAAGCCGACGAUCCAUAGCUGGUCUGAGAGGAUGAUCAGCCACACUGGGACUGAGACACGGCCCAGACUCCUACGGGAGGCAGCAGUGGGGAAUAUUGGACAAUGGGCGCAAGCCUGAUCCAGCAAUGCCGCGUGAGUGAUGAAGGCCCUAGGGUUGUAAAGCUCUUUUACCCGGGAAGAUAAUGACUGUACCGAGAGAAUAAGCCCCGGCUAACUCCGUG